rnacentral:tRNA from 1 species
GCCCAGCUAGCUCAGUCAGUAGAGCAUGGGACUCUUUAUCCCAGGGUUGUGGGUCCGUGCCCCAUGCCAGGCA